rnacentral:lncRNA from 1 species
GGCCCAUGGGGGCUGGGGGCUCCAGCGUGGUCUGACAUGUCCCCCCGCCCCCCAGGCCCGCAGGGCCCCCCCGAGGCCGUGGCCCGGUUCUCCUACGAGGGGCGCUCGUCCCAGGAGCUCUCGUUCCAGCCGGGUGACCGGAUCCGGCUGCUGGCCAAGGCCUCCCCAGACUGGUGGCGUGGGGAGCUGGGGGGGGGCCCGUGGCCUGGUUCCCCACAAGUACAUCAGCCUGAUCCCCAGCACCGGGAAAAGCCGGAGUCGCCGAACCUCGGGGUCGGACGGAGAUGCCGGGUCUCCCCCAGCUGAGCCGACACCAGAGUCAAUCAGCAGCAGGCUGCGGGUGAACUCGGAGGGCAGCCGGGGGCGCCAGCGACCUGGGACCAGCCCCAUCCGCAAACUGGCUUCUCCCUUCAUCGACUCGGGGCGUCUGCCUUUCCCCCUUCAGCCCCCCAGUGCCCCCCGGGCUGUCGACAGGUGAGACCCCCCUCCCCCGGGCAAGAGGGCCCUGGGGAGCCAGCCCCACCCCAGAGGUUGCUGCCCCGACUCUCUCCCUUCUCUCUGCCAACACUGCCUUUCCUCCUCCAGGACGGAGCGGGGGGCUCUGGGGGUUGGCCUCUCCGGCAGAGAGAAACAAGGGGCCCCGGAGAAGCACGUGGAGAUGGAUAAGGUAAGUUUUGGGGGAUGUACCCCAGCCCCCCUUGGGGCUGCUG